GGACUCUGUAUUCUUCGAAGAUGAGCCUAUGAGAAGAGCACAAGCCUUUCGCCUUUUCUAAAGACUUCCGUGGAGAGGAACACUACGAGUUCAACUUAUUUUUGGAGCGGCUUUGCUUCUGCAGAGCC
rnacentral:snRNA from 1 species